UGGGGAAUAUUGGACAAUGGGCGCAAGCCUGAUCCAGCCAUGCCGCGUGAGUGAUGAAGGCCCUAGGGUUGUAAAGCUCUUUUGUCCGGGAAGAUAAUGACUGUACCGGAAGAAUAAGCCCCGGCUAACUUCGUGCCAGCAGCCGCGGUAAUACGAAGGGGGCUAGCGUUGCUCGGAAUCACUGGGCGUAAAGGGCGCGUAGGCGGACUCUUAAGUCGGGGGUGAAAGCCCAGGGCUCAACCCUGGAAUUGCCUUCGAUACUGAGAGUCUCGAGUUCGGAAGAGGUUGGUGGAACUGCGAGUGUAGAGGUGAAAUUCGUAGAUAUUCGCAAGAACACCAGUGGCGAAGGCGGCCAACUGGUCCGAUACUGACGCUGAGGCGCGAAAGCGUGGGGAGCAAACAGGAUUAGAUACCCUGGUAGUCCCACGCCGUAAACGAUGAAUGCCAGCCGUUGGGGAGCAUGCUCUUCAGUGGCGCAGCUAACGCUUUUAAGCAUUCCGCCUGGGGGAGUACGGUCGCAAGAUUAAAAACUUAAAUGAAUUGAC
rnacentral:rRNA from 1 species